UGAGGCGAGCGGACCGUCAAGAACUGCUCUCUAAAGUCCUGCGGUGGUGCUCUUAGCCGCUGUUUUCUUCAAAUAACUUGUUCUCACAUGCUUUUCCUGCGUGUGUUUGUUCUUCUAGAGUUUCGUGUGAAAAAUCUGAUCACUGAGAAAAGGACUCGGGUGCCAUGCAAAUGUUUACUGUCAGUUUCAUGGGAAGACGGAUUGGACCACGAGAUGCUAUGUUUAUGUUUAUAGCUUCAUGGCUCUAUGGACUCACUUGAAAACAGAGAGCAGGAGAGCAAGAAAAGGCAGCGAGAUGAAGAGGAGGAGGAAGAGGAGGGGGAAAGUGCUA